UGAGCUUCCUUGGCCCUGGACUGUGCCAGGAGCUUUCUCAAACAUCCUCUCGUUUAUUCCUUUCAAGUUUUCCUUCCUCAGUCUCUGGUUAUUGGCUGCGUCUCCACCGGCCCCAUGGCUGUCACUACUCAAGGAGAAGAGAAAGAGCAGAACAAAGCUGUUAUUUCAGCGAUUCCUUUCCACUCUCUAGGAGGAAGCUGAUGCCCACAGGCCGAUGGACGGAUCGAUGGAUCCUGACACAGGAGGAACUGAAAUAGAAAUCUCCAAAGCCCUUAGGUCUCAGCUAGGAAACCUGCCAGGCAUCAAGAUGCAGCUUCUGCUUGGCAUUUAGGCAUGGUGCUGGAAAAGUAACUGAGAGUUCUACGUCCUGAUCCCAAGGCGGAGAGAAGAAGAGUGACACAGGGCCUGGCUUGGCCUUUUGAACCCUCAAAGCCCACCUCCAGUAACACACUUCCUCCACAAGGCCACACCCAGAAUCCUUUUCAUCCUAUGAAAGAGUUCCACACUCUGGUGACUAAACAUUCAAAUAUGUGAGCCUGUGGAAGCCAUUCUUAUUUAAAGCUCCACAGUGCUCAUAGCUUUAUUGGCCUUGGAGUAGAUACUACAUUUAUAGUCUUAACCUUGAAGUUAUGGGAAUAACACAUUGCUUUCUAAUGUGAUGUUUCUCUUCCUCUCAAAAGGCCACAUGUAUCCCAGGCUGCCUUUGAACUUCGAUGUAGUCAAGGAUGACCCCGAACUUCUGGUUCACCUAUUUCUUCCUUCCUAAUGCUGGAAUUUCAGGCGCGUACCACUAUGCCCAGUUUAUGCUGUGCUGGGGACUAGACCCAGGGCUUGGUGAAUGCUAGUACCGGAACCUCUGAUCCUUGUGUGAGACAAGAAUCCACCCUGUGCAAGAUCUGUAUGGUGUUCUGAAAUGGGAAUCUAGACAGCUAAAUCAGGAUCUUCUGACAAUGGACAAUGUACGUGUCAAGGGUGCCAACUUCCUCAUGGACUCAAAAUCCUACAUAGAACUUUCCAAAGAGCAAUAGCUGACAGUUGGCUGGGAGCCUCGCUGCAGACAUCAACAGUCGAUUAGCACAUAUGUUGCAUGCUUUACUGUGAUAUGUACAAACACUGUGGGCCUUCACUGCAAGUACUGCUCAGGACUUUCUGGCAAGAGGAAGGCUCACGUGUUGAUCACGUGCUCACACGGUGACUAAGCAGGCGUUUCAACUCCUGGGCACACUGCAACACUGGUGGCCACUGGGUUGCUGCAGCAUCUUCUGUGGGCACUUUUAUGCAGUUAUGGUUUAUGCUGCAUCUUAUAUCUAUAAACAUUUCUCCUAUUUUUUUUUUCUGUUUUCGUUUCUUCAUUUCCGUUGCAAAUAGCACCUUGGACAGUCUGUGUUUAUGUAAGUUUUGAUAAAAUUUUAACUUUUAAAAUAACAGAUCUGUGUUUAUUUUAUGAUAGUAAAUGUUAUCACCAUACAUGUUAUGUUUUUUGUUUUUGCUUGACAGUGCUAGGUUUUAUGGUCUGUCAUGUAUGUUCUCCCCCCCCCCCCCAAACUGUUACAAAUCUCUAAAUCUUGUAUCUACAGGGACCUGCCCAGUUCAGAACUUUAUCGUUCAAGGGUUAACUGUAAUAGGAAACACUGUGUAUAUUAAAACUGUUACUGUUUACUUUGGCUGGUCACUUCUCAGUCAAAUAGCUCCUUCCUGUGUCUGCUGAUAAGGGCCUGUGGGAUAGGCAGAGCAAAGUCCCCAGCACUCCCCACAGUCUGGAUUCACAGCAAGGUCACUCCCUUCUGCCAAACUUGGACACUGGCUCAUCUUGUCCGUAAGUACACUCCAGUUUCUUUUCAGAGGCAGACAGGUUCCCUUUCUUGAAGUAUUGUCAGUUGGAUCCUACUAGAUAAGGCCAGUUUAACUGGGGUUUUAAAACACAUUACAAAUAACUUCAUAUGAGCCAGCGAGAUGGUUCAGUGGGAAUACUUGCUGGGUAAACAGGAUGAUCCAAGUUAGACACCCAGGAGACACAGUGGGAGAACAAUUCCUGAUCGAUGUGCAUGCUCCUGCACCAUGUGUAGUGAUGAUGAUGGUGAUGGUGAUGGUGAUGAUAAAGGUCUAGAUGGCUCAGCAAGUGAAGGUAUUUACAAUCCAGGCCUGCCAGGUGAAGGUAGGAGAAAACUGAUUCCACAAAUUUGACUUCCACGUGUGUGCUUUGGCACAUAUACUAUAUAUAUAGUACAGUUGUCAAUAGAUAAACAAAUUAAGUAUGAAAGAAAGAAAGAAAACACGUUUUCCUCUGACCCUCACAUUCACUAGUGGGAUACAUAGGAAGAGAGGACUGCGUCACAAUUGGCUUACACAGGCAAUUACAGAGGGAACUUCUGGCAAAGCUAUAACACAACCCAAACUUCCUGAUCUUUAAUGAUUUGAUAUGGUAGCCUAAAGUCAAUAGAGAAAUAUAUUUUUAAACGAGAAUGUACGUGGACCUUUGAUCUUGUGGGAGAUUAAAAUCCUGGUGAGCUGAGAGACAGCGUUCCCACGCCACACUAUGUAUUUGGUUGUGGGCCUGCUACACCCACGCUUAGAAAUCAAACACUUGCUAAGUUAUUUUAGGAACCCGGAGGGAUCAAGCUCAGCAAGUGUUACACACUGUCUUAGGAGAUCCAGAACUCAUUGAAGAGUUUAAGUUUCUUGGGGAAUAAAGUUAGUUUGAGAGAAAAAGAAAUCAUCACCAUCAAGCCAAGCCUCAUAGAAGGCACCCUCAGACGGAGAUUCAUCUGGAGUGUUACCAACUAGAAAUCAAGUCCAACGUGUCCGUGCUGAAGAGGGCAGGAGUCCUGGGUUCCCUGGCGCUGGAGGUACAGGCAGCUGUGGUCUGGCCUGAAUUCAGGUUCUCCACAAGAAUGGUGCAGGCUCUUAAACAGCUGAGCCGCCUCUCCACCUCCAAGAGGUUCUUAUUCAUUUUAAGGCGCAAAUUCUUCAAAGAUUGAUUAAAAAAAAAAGGGCCUAGAAGGGUUGAACAUCAAUUUUUAAUAAUGAAACCUUUCAUCCAGUCCUCAAAAUUACCAUAAAAGGCAUGAGAAAUUGUCGACUUCUCAUCCCCACCACGGUGUGACAAGCCCUUGUUACAACAUCCAUCUACUGUCUCCAAAAAGCCCAAUACAAAACCCACACAUUAUAUCACCUAGUGAUCUACCAACAGAUGAGAGUUUAACCAGCGUUAUACCAGGAAGCUAUUACCACGGAUACUUCAAUCACAUAGCUGAAAAUAUGGAGAAAAGACAGGUAAAAAAAGAAAUCAUCUUAACUUGUAGUAGUCUUUUUGCUUUUUUAAAAUUUCUAUAAAAUACACUAAUAUCCCAAAAUAAAGAAUAUUAUGACACAUUGGUGUCGACUCACACAGAUGAAAGCUGAUGUCAGCUUUUUUCUAACUAAAGUUCAUUUCACCAAACCUUUAUAUAUUACAUGAAUAUCCAAGUAAAGUAUUUCUUUAAAAAAAAAAUUCAACACAAAGGAACAUAAUAUACAGUGUUUUUAUAUAUAUAUAAAAAAAAAUCAAUUAACAGGAAUGAUUCCACUUCUAGCCACAUUACGUAUCUCUUUAAGACAAUGGGAUCUCUUGCCAUUCUGUGACUCUUCAGUUCAUGUCAAUAUUUCCCAGCUACUUUUAUCUUAAA